rnacentral:rRNA from 1 species
GACGAACGCUGGCGGCGUGCUUAACACAUGCAAGUCGUACGGUAAGGCCCUUUCGGGGGUACACGAGUGGCGAACGGGUGAGUAACACGUGAGUAGCCUGCCCACAACUUUGGGAUAACGCUAGGAAACUGGUGCUAAUACUGGAUAUGUGCUCCUGCUGCAUGGUGGGGGUUGGAAAGCUCCGGCGGUUGUGGGUGGACUCGCGGCCUAUCAGCUUGUUGGUGGGGUAGUGGCCUACCAAGGCGGCGACGGGUAGCCGGCCUGAGAGGGUGACCGGCCACAUUGGGACUGAGAUACGGCCCAGACUCCUACGGGAGGCAGCAGUGGGGAAUAUUGCACAAUGGGCGCAAGCCUGAUGCAGCAACGCCGCGUGCGGGAUGACGGCCUUCGGGUUGUAAACCGCUUUCAGCAGGGACGAAGCUUUUUGUGACGGUACCUGCAGAAGAAGCACCGGCUAACUACGUG